CCCGUGUCCGCACACCCCCGCCCGGCCCCGGCGCUGCCGCCGUCCCCCCCGGCCCCGCCGCCUCUCGGAAGGAUGCGCUGCGCCUCCAGAGUCUGGCAGAACUAGAAGUCCUUUGUAAGCACCUGGAUGAAGGAACUGAUCCAGCACAGGAAUGCAAGCUGAGAAGGUCCUCUUGGAGCUUAUCAAGAGCCCUGGAUGCCUCAGCCAAUGCCAGCUUCUCCUGGAACAAGGAACACUCAGUGUUUGGGGGAUGUGUUAUCCAUAAAGGUCAUCGUGCUCGUGGAAGCUCAUGUAGAUUUCUCAGUCAUGGGGCAUUACCAGGGCACUGUGGACCAUUGUGUAACAGGAGUGAUUCUCUCAGAGCUGACUCAGGAAAUGGAUCUGCUCUUGGCAAAACCUUUAAACCCUCAGGACCAACAGCAGCAAACCUAGUGACUUUUGAAGCAACUUUUGAAGCUUGUACUGAACUGUCUUAAUUUGGAUUUCAUUGGGAAUUCAGCUGAUGAAUCUGCAGAUGAGCUGUGCACUGUGCAAAUUCCAACCAACUGGACAGCAAGACAGCUGGCAUGGCUUGUCUGCCUCAUGGGUAGUUUGGGGGAGGACAAUGAACAUACACCAGUACUGAGGAGCACAAUGCCAUAAGUGGAGAAUUAUCCUGUUGAGUUUUCGGGAUGCUCUCUCUGAUGGAUGCCCAGUUACCCCAGCAUAAAAAUGAAAAAGUUGAACUGGCAGUUCUGUGGUUCUUGGAUCAGUUCUGUAAAACACAUGUGAGAGCCCAGCUUCAGCAAAGUUCCACCUCUGGUCUUCCAUAUCAUCGAAGUGUUCCUGCUUGGUGACCUCUCCUGUGCUGACAACCCAACUGAAGGCAGUUGUUGUCUUCCCCUUCUGAGGAAGGCAUGUCCUUUGAAAGGUAUAUGCCCAAAUGUCAGAAAUCUUGGGGAUAACAGGUGACAACCAUGUUCUGGAAGCAUUUAUGACAAAAAUACUCACAGAGGAGGAUCCUAAGGCCUCACACUGAAGGAGACACACAAGAGGCAUUGUCAUCUUCUGUCUUCACAUCUCUGGCAUUUGGCAGAAUAACUUGGUGUGUUAUUUUGGCUGAUACUUAUUGCUUCUGUAGGAUUCAGAACACUUUCAGAAUCCCCAUGAAAUGUAACACAGGCACCUGACUGCAAGUGCUUGCCCAGUUACUCCUGGAAGUGUGUUUGCUGACAGAACCAGCCUGCCAUUGCUGCUACAGCCAGCAAGCAUUCAGCAUUUCCUGUUGUCUUCUGGAGGCUUGCAAAGGUGAAGAUGAGGAUGAGUUUGAGAAUUUCAUGCUCCCCCUCACAGUUUGAUUUGAAAGUGUGGCUCAGACACUCAACAGUAGUUUUGAACAAGAAGAAACAAAGGAAAAAAUUUCCAGUAUUAAAACAGUGCCUAAUUUUCUAAUAAGAAUAUCAAGAUUUCUCCUGACAACGUGGGUAAGUAAUCUAUUGCCUGGGCAGCCGGAAUCUCAGUAGUACUUUGCUUGUAGUUGUGACAUCAUCGGAUUUGCUAGAAACGCAUGGAAAAGGGAACUGAAGAAAAAGCAGUUAAAUAGCAACAUGCUAUCUUUAGCUGGUUUGUAGAAACUCCAUGCUGUUAAAUUAUUUAAAAUCCUUGAUUUUCAGCUUGCACACAUUAAAAGUUUUCACACUAAGUGCCAAAUGUUGCAAACAGCACUUUAACAGAAUGAUUUUGCUUUGAUCCCUGUAGCAGUUCCUGAAUAAUUUAUCACAGGUUAUUGCCUUAAUUCUGGAGAGGGAUAGAGCAAUAAAGGCAGAUGAAAACACUCCAGUUGAAACACCUUGGGGCCUGCUCAUUCCUCUGACACGGCUCUUUUGUUGGAACUAUUUAGAGGUUAUUAAGAUGUGUCUCCAGAAUUAAGAGUAUGCUGUAAGGAUGAAGACAGCCAUCUUAAUUCUAAAGACAAAGCACAAUGACCCUUCACCUUUUUUUUCCUUUGUUGUUAUUAUAUAGUAGAAUUAUGAGGGUAAUAUUAUAGCUGCACCCAGUAGUGCCACUAUGGUUAAGGGUCUGUCAGACUUUCCAUUACCAGCCCUGUUUUGGGGGUGGUGGGUGUGAGCAGGCUCGUCUGUUUUAGAUGGCCUCAGUCAGACACUUGGCACAUGUUGGCAAGUCAUAGGGGCUUUUCUGGGAAUAUUUACAUCUUCAGCUCCUUUUCCUUGAAAAAAAAUCUGUUGAAAAAUGUGCUUCAGGACUUUGAAACAAAAUACUUGAAUUUGUUUUUUAAAUGGCUUUGUUGUAAUUAAAUCUUAAGGAAACCUAUCAGUGACAUUCAGGGAAGGAUAUUCUGAAGCUGAAAUUUGAACAAAAUUGCUUCAUUAGCGAGAAGAGCACUGUAUAAACCCACAGAAUGCUGGCAAGCUCCUCUUGGUGCGUUUCCUGCAUUUCCUGUUCCUUACUCCUCCUCUCACUCUGUUGGCCACUGCUGGUGGUGCCAUUUGCUGUCCCAUUGCCCCAGAAAAGGCUGAGAUGCAGCUGGGAAGGACGCAGCAGCCUCGGGUUUUCCUCCCAUCACUGGGAAGUUUCUGGAUCCCACGGGAUGACAAACAAAAAGUAGAUGUAUAAGCGUGUAAUCCUGUUUGUCAUUAAUAAAUUUUAUGCACGUAAGUGCUAUUUGAUUACUUACAAUGGUCUAAAACUAGAUUCUCUUGGGAUUUUAGGAGUUUGGGGAGAAGGUUCUUCCUGAAUGUGAGGUAAGCAAGCAUGGAAUCUAGGGUGAUUUUUGCUCCUGUUAGAGUUUAAGGGUAUUUUGUACCAGUGAGUUAAGUGGAUCAGGAUUUAUUUCAGGAUUCUAGUGUCUAUUCCAUGGGCUGUUCAUCCUGUGCUGGCUGUGGCAGUGUUAUCUUACACAGCUGAGUUCUGAUGGAUCCUAUCUAAACCACUGGUUUGCUGGGGUUUUACAGGACAAGAGUAUUAGAUCUAAAUCCUAGAUCUUGUAGAUUGAGGUCAUUUAUUAAGAAGCGUAGUUAUGGGCUUUUUAUUAACAGUAUCUCAAUUUAAAUAAUAGAAAACCAAAAAAUGUAGUUUAUGUGGUAGUUGUUCUUUCAUUAGAAUUCGAGGUCCAGUGGUGUCUGAAGCUGCCUAGUGUUUGUACAGGUUCCCAGAAACCUGGGACCACAGUUCAAAGAAAGUUGGACAUCUACUUUUAUUAAUAGUUUUUAAAGUCUCAAAACCAAAUUAUUUCUUAAAUAUAUUCGCAAAAGAGUGUUUUCUUAAACCACUUUUUGGUAAAGACAGAAUAAGCGUGUUGGAGGCCUAUGGGUUGGUCUGGUUGUCCUUUCGUAGUCCCACAGCCACACGAGGAUGGUGAGCUCUUUGUCCCCAGCAGUGCUCAAACAAAGGCGAGUUCAUGUCUUGCCAGGGGCUGUGGCUCCCCUUCUCCCUUGCCCCAGACUUUCUUUGUGCAGCCUUGUUAUCUCCUUUUUUGUGGCUGGAAUGGGCAAAGGAACCAAAAUCAGUGUGGAAUAUUUCCAUUCCCUUGUAUCUGUUGCUGCAUCUCUGGCUGCCUUCAGAGAGUAGUAUAAAGCAUUACUGCCAAGCUCUUUUCAUUCUUAAUGUUUUGGCCACCUUGUCUGCUGAACAGUUAUUUUCUGUGCAGACAAAGCAGCACACCAAGUAUGAAAAUACAGAUGAGUAUAAAGUUACAAUUUUAUAUUGCAUCUUCUCAGUAUUGAACACUUCCUCUCUAGUGAUUUCAGAGUCCCAUUAAAGUUAAUGAGAGUUGAGACCUCUGAGCAUCUUUGCAAGUUCAGGCCAUUUCAAUGCACAACAGAAAGGAAAUGCAAAUAUUAAAAUACUCCCAGCAACCUCACUAGUCUUUGGUAAAGAACUCCAUUUGUCCUGGGAUAAAUCUGUGUAUGUGCCACCCAAGUCAGCCAGACUGAUGAGUCUGUGUAUGAAAAGUAUAAAUUAAUCCUGGUCUAAGCUCACAUGGAGCAGUUUACAAGGCAUCAGCAGUAAUUUGUUCUUUAUGUGAUCAAUUAAAAUGAAUAUGUGGCUCUUACCUUUUAUAUUUCUCAACACUAUAAAUAUUGCAGUGUAAGCACCAAGUGGUACAUUACUGAAAACCCUGGGUUUAAAGAGAGAGCUCCUUAUUGGGUUUUUUUUGCCAUGGUUCUAUGAUUUUUUUUCCCCAGACUCUACAGAACUGUGACCUUUUUAUUGUAAAAAGAAAAGAAGUACAAAUACCACCUGAAACGUCAAAAAGAAUACUUAUGUCUGAGUAAAUUGAAGAGUUUGUUUAUGUUAUUAAAAUAUUUUUCAUUCAUUGGUGUUUCUUAUUGAUGUCUAUUAAUUAUCCUGAAAACAUCCCCUUACUAGGGGCUAAUUAUCUAUGUGUACAGUGUGGUCUACAUUGGAGCAGGAAGGAUUCUGAAGCCACACUUCAGCCAUUAAAGGGGAAAAAGUGCAUCUCAGGACUAAUGUUAACACAGGCAGAGAUUUGCAUCAUUUCCUCUAAACUGAAAAGUCAUUUUUUCAAGAAAACUUACCGGGAAAAUUACUUUAAAAACCCCCAACAAAACAGCAAAAGAUAUGUUAAAAUAACAGUACAAUGGGAGUCUCAGUGCAGCCUUAAUUGUAGUUUGUUAUGAGUAUCAGUUAGUCUUACACCAUUCAAAAUAUUACAAGCUUAAAUUAACAUUUUAUUGUUAUUAUCACUUUAAAUAUAUUAAUACAGGAAGCACUUUUAAACGUUAAUACAUAGUAUUCAUAUAUUAUGUUUUAAUUUGCGUUAUUCAUUAUGAGAGCAUAUCGAGUAACCCAAAGCAUUUCCUAAGCAUUUUCCUAAUGUCAGCACUAGAAAACUUGUGGCAAUCUUAUUUAUCCAAGGAUCUUUGUGUUUCUUCUGGAAAAAAAAAAAAAAAAAGAGGUUUGAGCAAGACAUUUAAACUAAUGAAUCAAAAUCAGAUAUGUGCUCAUUAUUGGCUGAUUAUUACUCCAUCUGCUCGGCGCUAACGUGAAAAUCAAUUACGGAGUCUCCUCCCGCUGGCAGCGUGCGCUGGGCUGGGGCACAGAGCCCCACACCCGCCCCGUGCCCCUGCCAGGCCUCUGCAUCAGGGUAAUGGUGGCACAGUGGGGACAGGAAACCGAGCUAAUGAACUCGUGUAAUCAGCUAAAAUCACUGCACAAUGGCAAACAUGCAGUUAACAGAGGUCACUGUUUUGUUGUGUCACACCACUAAUCUAGAAAACAUAUCCGAGGGGGUUUCUUCCCUUUGCACAUCCCUCAUGUUUGCAUAAAAAGAAAAAAAAAAAAGCUGUGUCUUUAAUUCCAAACACAAUGUACCAACAUUUGGUUUAACAUCAGAAGUGCUUAAAAAAUACCAUACAAGUGCUAUCUGGGGAGAUUUCUUUCUCUGGUAUGAAUCAUGUCUUUAAUUUAGUCAGUUACUUUCUAUUUAUGUCAAGUCUAUUAAUAUCACAACACCUGCAGUUGUCUUGAUCCAGAAGAAAAUGGACUUCUGCAAACAAAAUCAAAAUCUUUACAUUGUAGUUUUCUUCAAAAAGUAAUGAUAAUGAACUCUGUUUGUUUUAAAUAUUGGUACAUUUUUAAACUAGCACAUACAAUAAUGCCCCUGGGUAUUUUCUUAACCCUACAGAGAAAUGCUUUGUAUUUUUAUAAAUACAGUAGCUGUAGUUCUCUCUCAGGCACACAGUCAUGUUGGAAAUAAACUGCUGAAAUACAUAGUGAGGGAUUAUGGAAAUAUUUGGUUUAUAAUUUAGAUCUCACAAAACUAUGAAAAUUAAUUAUGUGUUUGUUUUAUGGACAGAAAAAAUAACAUUUAAGACAAUUACAUGAUUCACAAGAAAUCAAGCUUUUACAGAUUUUUUUUUUUUGAGUCAGUUGUGAAGCUCUACUCUUCUAUAAUCUUGGUUAAGAAAGGGAAAUGCAUCAGGAUCGAAUCACAAGUAGGAAAUUAUCCUUUCAGGACUGACAGGCUGUACAGGAGCCCCUGAUGAUCUGAGUGCCAUCCUCGGGUGGUGGGGAAUAGGAUCCUGAGGACCACUCAGAAAACCCCUAUUUAAGACCUUUGCAAGCCUGCAGUUAUUCUGUGCAGGCUCAGCAGUAAGAAAGUAAGUCCAAAACAGAAAGCAGUGUAAUCUUUAUUUCUCCUAAAAUCAGUGGAAAGCAUCCCUUAUUUUCAGUUUUAGAGGACUGGAGGGAAAAAAACCCCACAAGAACAACAACAACAACAAACUACCCAACUCCUGAAGCCAGACUGUGAAUUAGCAUCUCAUUUUCUAGUGGGCACCACUGGGUACAUUUAACUUCGUUAGUACUGUUUGUGCUUGUGUUACCCUAAAACUUAAUAAAAUCUGGAAGAUGUGUGAAAGCA